UACGUAGGUGACAAGCGUUGUCCGGAUUUACUGGGCGUAAAGAGCGCGCAGGCGGUCGAUCAAGUCGAGUGUGAAAGCCCCCGGCUCAACUGGGGAGGGUCAUUGGAAACUGGGGGACCUGAGUGCAGAAGAGGAAAGCGGAAUUCCACGUGUAGCGGUGAAAUGCGUAGAGAUGUGGAGGAACACCAGUGGCGAAGGCGCAUCCUGGACCGGCAUUGACGCUGAGGAGCGAAAGCCAGGGGAGCAAACGGG
rnacentral:rRNA from 1 species